rnacentral:lncRNA from 11 species
CAUUUAAUUCAAGAUUUAUAAAAUCAUACAAAAUCAUGGAAAAUAUACCGUAUGUGAUUUUAUUAAAAUCGAAUUUAUAUAUAAAUCAUUACAUAUUUUAUAAUUUAGGAUUGAAUUUCAUCAAUAAAUUAUACAUUAUAUUUAUCCACAAAUUGUAUAUAAUCCUCUUAUCGUGCAUUUCCAUUAAUGUCCACUUAACUCUCGUACAACGUGUGUGUUCCAAUAAUUAUUCUCUCGCGAUCCGAUGUCACUUCAGAAAUUGAACACCACCCUGGUAUUCUGAUCCCUCGAGGGUCUUCGAUACCUUCCACUCGAAUCACAAAAAGAAUCGAUGAAUAAAAUUUGUAUCGAUAACUAUAUAUAGAGAGCGCCAAGAAGUAGAAAGUUCCUCAUACAAUUGCGAUCCAUUGCCAUUGUCUUCAUUCAAAUACCAAAGAAAUCAGAAGAAGAAAGUAAAACGUAACGUUAAAACUUUAAUUAUAUAUAUGUUUAACAGUUACGAAUAUUAGAAACGAUUCCAAGAAGCAUGAUUCCAGAUACAUAGCGGAAGUGGAGCACCUUCCGACCGAUAUACGCAACAACGUCAAAGUGGGUGGCGAUGAGGAUGUAGGUAGGGAUACAGACGAUGCUACGGGGAGUAGGCAAUAGCAUGGGGAUAGGCCGUAAUUGGUAUAAAAUCAUCGAGCAAACACAUCGGACAAGACAGCCUGAGGGUUGUGGGCGGUGUUACGUGCCGUUGCCUUGGUAACCAUGGGGCGACUCUGCUAAAGCACCCCUUCGCCUUGAUUGCGCACAGGCCCAUCCGUUCGUGUGUACGUAUGCUAUGUUACUCAUGAAUGUGUGUUAGUGUUGUGCGCGUAUUGCAUGCAUUUAUACAUGUAUAUAUAUAUAUAUACAUAUAUAUACACAAAAGCGCCACCUACCCUUGUCUACAUGCCAGAUUUACAAGACGCGUACUUACACGAUUCACUUUUUCACUGUUACGCGACUCUUUAUGUAUGCGAAACUAUCCAUAAUCAUUGGCACGCGCACGAGAUUAAUUACCGUUCUUUGGAAAAUAUCUCGAGCUUUGCGGAUUUAUCGUGAACAUUUUAUCGCGAGAAUUUUUGGUUGUCGAUGAAAUUUAUAUUCCAAUCUAGACUUUUUAAUAAUACAUAAGUUUGCUACAAUUUUUAUUUAUUCGAGAUUUUUAUAUAUCUAAAUCUAUUUCUCAAUUUAUUGAAUUGAAUUAUUAGGCGUUGAGAAACGAAGAUCGAAAUAAAGAUUAUAGGAGUGUGCUAUUAAGCUGUUCCCCUUAAUAAUAAGCGAAUAUCACGCCCUCUCUAUUUAGAUAUAGAGAUCCAUAUAAGUGGUUCCACCGGCACACGCAAUUUGUCGAGUGUUUAGUUUAACCGCACCCCGUGAAUCCGCGUUUAUGCUCCUAAUCAAGCAGGAUUACGGUCAGUUUCGUCCUGUCCCUCGUAAACCAUGCCACGAGACAUAUGUUAUUCUUCGACCGUUCAAUCGCAACAUAUCAUGUUAUUCUUUCGUUUUCUACCGAAUAAUACGAAAAGAUUAACGAUAACACUCGUUGCACGUGUCGGGGGAAACGUAAUCCAUUUCAAACAAAAAGAAAAAGAAAAAUCUAUUAUUUACACGAUAAAUUUUCAUUUUUUUAAUCGUUUAUUUUUACGUAUAAUUCUAGAUUUUUAUUCUAUAUUAAACAUCUCUUUCAUUGUGCAUAGUUUCGUUGCUUUAUCAUCGGAUUUCUUGCACAAUGACGGCAACUUUCUGCGUUGCCACAAGAUACAGGUCAAGGACGUAUCAAGCCUUAGGCCUUUGAAAUUUCUAACAACAUAAUUUUGAUGAUGCGAACGUUCAAAAAGAGACUAUCAUUGUAUCUCUUCACAAAAAUCAAGACUCUGAACUAUAUUACAAAAAAAAAAUAAAACAUACCAAUGUUCAUCUUACUUGAAACAUCAUCGUCUCAUCGACUCACGUUUGAAACGCAUUUUCCCGACAUCUAACAAGAAUUUUCACAAUCAUUUUGUCGAAGAGUCGAUCGUCCCUCGAUUUUGGUCAAAUUAAAGCGCGUUCGUUCGAGCUUCCUUUCCCCGAUCGGCUUAAUGGCGGUCAGCGUCGAGACGUGGCCGUCGGGAACGGGACGCAUCCCGCGACGGGUGAUCGCGCAAUUUCACAGGAUCGUGGCUGCGUCACAUUCGUCGGCCGAAGAAUUUAACGAGGCGCACGCGACUCGCCCUCCUCGCCGGACUUGCUCCGAUCACCACCGCUUCCAGUCACACACGCCCGAUAAUAGCGGCCCUCGUGAACGUGAACACCCCCUUAUCCAACGUGUCCUCGUUACACCAAUCUCACGGCUGAUGUAUAUUCAUGGACCUGUCCACGCACAUCGAAUUGGAAUCAAGAAAAUGCCAACUGUCUCUCGUCUCUGUGUCUAUCGUGUCGAGCGGUUAGUUCGAUUAGUGGAAUCGUGAAUUUUGAAUAAUGUACGAUCAAAUCUAGAUUGUAGAAUCUAGGUGUUUGGUUUUCGAACAUAGAUCUGUAAUGAGGAUCUCGUGCAAAUUGACGAUCUUUGCGAGAUUCGUGAGAUUCCACUAAUUCUUUCGGUUGUCAAUUUUCCCUCAUUUUUUUGUACGAGAGUCUGGAACGAGAAGGGAUCAAUAUCUUUGGAAGAAGAAAAAUUUGAAGAAUAAAACUGGUUCUCACAGUGUUGAGAGCCGACUUUUAAAUCGCACGAUCUCAAUGCGAUUUCGUUCGUCGAAUAGAGAAAUUAGUGACUCGUUCGUGGAACCUGUCUUUUUAGACAACGUCUAAUGGCGUUCAGAGAACCGAUGGCGAUUAUAAAGAGGCACGUGCCCCUCUUCAUGAGCGAGGCCCCAUGCAGGCGAGCACGCGGCCACCGAAAGCUAGCCCAAGAAUCGUGCAGGGCACAAUUAAUUUAUUGUUCGUGCCGGUAUAGUGACAAUCGAGGGAACGCCGGAGAAAAACAGGAUCGUUGUUUUCUUCUGUUUCGUCGGAGGGGUUCAGGGAACGGAUGCUGCCAGCCGAUCCUCGGCUUUGUCAUGGGUAUAAUUGUCAACCAUCUUUGCAGAAUGGGAGAUCUCUAGAAAAGAUAUUUCUUUCUCUAUCCGAGAAUUAAACGGUUCAAGAUGGAAGCAAAUCCAACGAGACGUUAAAGAGUAUUUCCAGGCAAACUCGUAGCCAAACUUUCGGCUUAAUCUCCAUAAAUUCUUUGAGGGAGAAGAAAUAUUAUCGCUCUCUCGGUUAGAAUGUUAUCUACCUUUCCACAGCGAAUUAGAUCGGAGGUAAUGAGAAAUUUUUCUCAAAAAAAGAAGAAAAAAAUUGUCUCGUUAUUUAUAUAAAGUGUCUAUCGGAUGUAGCAAUAAAAAAGAAGAAAUUUCACUCGCAAUAGGUGAAAAGAUUAAAUUCAAUUUCAUCAAUUUUUACCAGAAUAAAGAACUUAAUAAAACGAAAAAUAAAUUAUAAUUUUCGUAAUCAUCGAACAAACGAACAAUCUCCUCUAGAGAAGAGAAAAAAAUUUAAUUGGUUUAUUUUCAUCUCUUGUCAUUUCCAAGUACAAUUUCAAUUUUGAUGAAAGAACGAACUUGACCAAUUUUCUGCAACUGUUGAAAGAGGAGGAUAACUUGAAACGGAGAAAGAGACGGGACAGAAGAAAGAGGAGAGGGCAGAGGGAGGGAGAGAGAGAGACAGAGAGAUAAAGAAUUUUAAUAAGAUAGAUCAUCAGAGGAAAAUAUCGAUUAUAUUUUUCUCGUAAUAGGUAUGCAGCGCGCGCGCUAUCAAGUUUUACAAUAUUUACAACUCUUAAAGUAAUUAUCGUACAACGCGGUGAUCAUCGUACCCAUCGUUAAUUUACAUCGAUUAUAAAUAAUAGUGUUUCGCGUUGGCAAUGUGUACACGUGUAUUAUACAUGAGAUUAGCCUCGUGGCAGCUAACAGCCUCGAGCAAUUGUUCAUAAAGUUACUAGAAGUUCAAUAAUAAAAUACCUCGAUGAUUAAAAUGUAACUGGGAUUGCCAGAGAAUACUCUAUGGUCGUAUCGUUUUUAUUAUAAGUAGCCGGGUUUUAGGGUUUUUUAUCGCGCGCGGUGUUUAAAUAAACGCGUGAUUAAGAUGUAACAAAGGUGGUAUUUGUUCCUUUCUUUUUUUUUCUCUCUCUCUCUGUUUUUCUUUUUUUUUUUUUUUUUUCUUUUUUUUGCGUAGAAGAAGGGCGUGUGUAUUUCUUUGGUCGGUUGGUACAAGCACCGGUCAGUCUUCGGGUCUAUCUAAGAAAUACCUAAACGUAUUUAUAUACUAAAUUGUUUUAAGAGCUAUGAAACGAC